rnacentral:lncRNA from 1 species
GGAAUCAAUGGCCACUUUCACAUGGACAACAAUUAAAGGCAGACGAUUUGUUCGACUUGCCUUGGGCUGUGUAGUUUAGCUCCAUUAUCAUUCUGAUGAUGACAUGUGGCCACCUUUUUUGGGUAAUUUUUGUUUGUACAUUGCAAUUGGAAUGUUGUAUCGGGUGCAUCUGUCAGUCAAGUGCUGCUGACCAGUUGAUCAUCCUAACUUAAAACCAUCAACCAACUAUGCAAGGGAAUUAACCUGAUCUGACAAUGCUCAUGACAAGUAUUUUUAAGCUUCUUCUGUACCACUAGCUUGUAUGACGCACUGUACAAAUUGUUCCGCAUGGUGAUUAUGCUGUUAGUAGUAGUAUGUGGUAGGUUGCUGCUCUACUUAUUCUGUCACCUGCCAUUCAUAUUGGGCCAUUGGGAAAACAGAAGAAGCAAACGAAUGCCUUGGCAUGAAAUCAAUGAAGUUAAAAUUGUUUGAAGGUUUGGUGCACCCUUUGCCUUUUAUUUUGAAGGUUUGGUGCACCCUUGGCCUGUUACCUUUGGCACCUAUUAGAUGAGUUUAAGUGAGCAUGGCUCUUAAUUGGUGUGGUCCUAGGAAGAGGCAAAGUUGGUGUGAUUGUAAUUGUGGCACUUUUAUAUGACAAGUUAUUUUGCUGUUGACAGAUGCAUCGUUUGUAAAUAUUUUGCUGUUGACAGAUGCAUCGUUUGUAAAUAUUUUGCUGUUGACUGAUGAAUUCGUUUUAAUGGUGUGUGCAGGAAGUUGCUGGGCUUUUUCCGCAGUCAGCACAGUAGAAAGCAUCAACCAGAUUGUCACUGGCGAGAUGGUUACAUUAUCCGAGCAGGAGCUUGUGGAGUGUGACAUCAAUGGGCAGAGCAGUGGCUGCAAUGGGGGUCUUAUGGAUGAUGCCUUUGAGUUCAUCAUAAAGAACGGUGGCAUUGAUACUGAAGAUGACUACCCUUACAAAGCCGUGGACGGCAGAUGUGAUGUCCUCAGGGUGGGUACUUGCUUGCUUACUUCAUAUAGUCCCUGCAUCCAGAUGAUGCUCGUUGCUGAUGUUCUGACUGUGGUACAUUUUAUCAUAUCUUCGCAGAAAAACGCGAAGGUGGUGAGCAUUGAUGGCUUUGAAGAUGUCCCUGAAAAUGACGAGAAAUCGCUGCAGAAGGCGGUUGCUCACCACCCCGUGAGUGUUGCCAUUGAAGCUGGAGGCCGGGAGUUCCAGCUCUACCAUUCCGUAAGUGAACUUGUUGCAGCAGGCAGCUAACUUUUAUCCAGCAUUUAGGCCAUUCUGGUGAUAACAGGCCGUUUGAUUGAUCUAUAUUACAGGGUGUCUUCAGUGGAAGGUGUGGCACACAACUCGACCAUGGUGUGGUUGCUGUUGGCUAUGGCACUGAGAACGGCAAGGACUACUGGAUUGUCCGCAACUCAUGGGGUCCAAACUGGGGAGAGGCUGGGUACCUCCGCAUGGAGCGCAACAUCAACGUGACCAGUGGGAAGUGCGGGAUAGCCAUGAUGUCAUCGUACCCCACCAAGAAGGGUGCUAACCCACCCAAGCCAGCCCCGACACCUCCCUCGCCGCCGACGCCGCCUCCUCCAGUCGCCCCUGACCACGUCUGCGACGAGAACUUCUCAUGCCCUGCAGGCAGCACCUGCUGCUGCUCGUUCGGCUUCAGGAACCUUUGCCUGGUGUGGGGCUGCUGCCCAGCGGAAGGUGCCACCUGCUGCAAGGAUCAUUC